GUUCAAGAGUACGUGAAACCGUUCGGAGGUAAACGAGUGGGCCCUCGAAGUGUGAAGGCGGGGGGACUCAGCCGAACGCCGUCGAGCCCGCCGGCGGGUCCGCGCUUCCCUCCCGGGACGCGGCCAGCCGGUGUGCCGGCUCCGGUUUGCGGCGCAUUUCCUCCCGUCCUCCGACGCCGCGACCGGUCGGGCGCGCCACGAGCAGUCGGCCUUACUCGCGGGAAACGGAAGGUAGCCGGGUCGGCGCGCACGCGCCGCCCCCCGGUGUUCUAGCCGUCCCGCAAUCGAGUCAGCCGUUCGCCCGACCGCAGGACGCAAGGCCCUCAGGGGCCCCGCCGUGCCCUCCCCGCUCUGGGGAUCGCUUCCGCCUCGGAAGGGAUGCCGCCCGUCCCCGCGUCGCACCUCCGGUGCGCGUGGGGCGGCGGCGCCCGCUGGCCGGGGCGCUCGCGAUUCGGGUGCUGGCGGUCCGCGGCGAGUAGGUCGGUCACCCACUCGACCCGUCUUGAAACACGGACCAAGGAGUUUAACAUGCACGCGAGUCACUGGGUCGUGAGCAGGCCCAAGGGCGCAAUGAAAGUGAAGGGCGGCCCAUGCCGUCCGCGUUGGGAUCCUCCGGCCUCCGCGCCGGGGGCGCACCAACGGCUCGUCCGGGCCGCCACGUCGGCCGGGCGAAGCUAGAGCGUGCACGUUGAGACCCGAAAGAUGGUGAACUAUGGCUGGGCAGGACGAAGCC
rnacentral:rRNA from 1 species